UUUGGUUAAGGAACAAAGGAAUUUGUGGGUACAAGGAGUCUCAUGCUUACCUUUUCCAUCGCACGUAAUUUGACUACGAGCCAACCACUUUAUUCCAUAAAUAUGACAGCCUGAGCGAGCUUUUUUUGAGCUCUUCCUCCUAAGUAACUGGCAGCAUGGCAAUGAUCUCGAGUUGGGACACCUCUCAAGGUUACUCCUCCUGGCUGAGAGACCCCCUACCAACUGCAGAUCUUUGAAUGACUCCAAAAUGAUGAUGUCCUGUGAAGAAAUACAAGCCUGAUAUGACAGCAGAGGCCUUGAGAAGUGGAGAUACAGGACACAACAAAGGAGCACAGGCAGAAGAUGUCAAGAGAUGGGGCACAUGCUUGGCACUGGAGACCCCAUGACUAUAAACAAUUCACCAAUGAGCCCAGGAAAGUCUCCAAAGCCUUUCAGCAAAGGACUUUUAGGAAGAAAUUAAACAAGACUUACAAAAGGAAAUUAAGCUCGUUGCAUAGAGUUGCUAAGAGAAGACACUUAAAAGUAACUGUUACACAUGAUGGAGUCCUGCGUUCCUGGAGAUGGCUCAACACCCACCUGCUGAUUGGAAGUAGCGAAUGGAUUCCUUGUUUUGCUUUGCUUGCGUGUGCAGCUUUUGCUUUACCUAUUAAACUGUCUGUACCUCAACCCAAGAGUUUUCUC